AUUGAACUGAAGAGUUUGAUCCUGGCUCAGAUUGAACGCUGGCGGCAUGCCUUACACAUGCAAGUCGAACGGCAGCACGGGUGCUUGCACCUGGUGGCGAGUGGCGAACGGGUGAGUAAUACAUCGGAACAUGUCCAGUAGUGGGGGAUAGCCCGGCGAAAGCCGGAUUAAUACCGCAUACGAUCUUAGGAUGAAAGCGGGGGACCUUCGGGCCUCGCGCUAUUGGGGUGGCCGAUGGCGGAUUAGGUAGUUGGUGGGGUAAAGGCCUACCAAGCCGACGAUCCGUAGCUGGUCUGAGAGGACGACCAGCCACACUGGG
rnacentral:rRNA from 1 species